CCGCCCCCUCUGUUCCUGCAACUCCGCGUCUGUCCAGCAGGGGGCGGCGUGGGCACGCGCAUUCCCAGCCUGCAGCCCCGGGGCCGUUUUCCUGUUUUCCUCCCGCGUGUGCCCGUCUUCCCACGUCUUGCAAAGGGCCUGAUCAAGUGACAGCUGACGAGCCUGCUCUUUAACCCCUUGCUGACAGGGAGCGUGGCGUCCCGCAAAGGGCGUGUUCAGGGCCAACAGACCUGGAUGUGCGAGGCCCUGCGGCCCCACUCACUGCGUCUGCGAGCUCAGAGGGGGAAACUGAGGCACAGAGCUGCCCAGCCCCUCCGGACUGUGGGGCUGUGGACCGUGCCCGCUACUGGUCCCACAGGGCGUGGGGCUGUCACCUGGCCACGGGGCUUUGUCUCCUCCAGGUGCAGGGAAGGACCUCAGGCGGCAGGAGAAGGUUCUGGGCCCGGGAGCCUCCUGCUCCUCCCACGGUGAGACAGAAUCCCCGGCCUGCCGUUUGCCGCAGAUGGUGACAAACUGGAAACUCCUGAGCUGAUGCUAUCGGACCCAAAGGGCCAGGGACGCUGGGCCAGGAUUGGGGGCUGGGGGCUCCGAAGGCCGUUCUGGGCAUGAUCCUGGGCCUUCACAGCCUUCCUAGGUGUCUGUGAGCCCCUGGAGGGGAGGUGGGGGCCAGAAGCUUCUCCAAGGACUCAGUAACAGACCAGAGCACUCGGAUUCUUUCUAAAAGGAUCAGAGAAGCAUCUGCCCUCUGCAAGCCCGUGUCUCUUUCCCCCGCUUUCAAGCCUGAGAACAGUUUGGUCUGGGUUGGUAGCAUCCCGGCACUCCGGGUUCUUUCCUGAGCUCUGGAUGUCCACAGGAGCACGCGUAGACCCUCUGCUCCCCGAGCUGGGUGCGCCCCGUCCAGAGGGGAUCCUGAGCGGGGAAAGGCUCUGUGUGCAGAGGACAGAGCUGUGACGAGCCAUUGCAAUCCACCUCCCCUGUGUUCGACUUCCUUCAGGGGCGUCUUAGCAUCCUAGGGGAUGGAGGUUUGGAUCCACAGACUCACCCAUCUGGCGGCUUGCAACCUGAAGCCAAGGCCUGGGUCUGCAUUUCAAAGAUUUGGCAGGAAGUUAGAUGUAUCUGAUGGAUUUACGCAAUUACGACUUAUUUUGGAACUUCUCUAACACGGAAGUGCUCGUGACACAGGGAGUGCAUACGUCGUCCUGUCUGGCUUAGUGCAGUUUCACAACUGAACACGCCCGUGUCACCGUCCUCUAGAUUAAGCCACAUUGUGAUGACCACCCCUCCCCCCGGCCCCUGCUCCUGUGCCGCCCCCC
rnacentral:lncRNA from 1 species